rnacentral:pre_miRNA from 2 species
AAUGGAAUUGCUGAGUCACAUGGUAACUCUGUUUAACUGUUUGAGAAAUUGCCAAACUCUUUUCCACAGCGGUUGCACCAUUUUACACUCCCAUCAGCAAU